rnacentral:rRNA from 1 species
GACGAACGCUGGCGGCGUGCUUAACACAUGCAAGUCGAACGGAAAGGCCCUGCUUUUGUGGGUUGCUCGAGUGGCGAACGGGUGAGUAACACGUGAGUAACCUGCCCUUGACUUUGGGAUAACUUCAGGAAACUGGGGCUAAUACCGGAUAGGAGAUCCUGCUGCAUGGUGGGGGUUGGAGAGUUCCGGCGGUUGGGGCUGGACUCGAGGCUUACCAGCUUGUUGGUGGGGUAGUGGCUUCCCCAGCGUUUGACGGGUAGGCGGCCUGGGAGGGUGACCGGCCACCAUGGGACUGCGGGAGGGACCCGUAGGCAACCGGACGCAAGAGGGGGGAAUAUUGCGGAAUGGGGCCGAGCCUGUGGUGACAAUCCCCGGUUCGGGAAGACCUGUUUUGGGGGGAGAACCUAUUUGUACGUAGACGUAGACUUCGUGACGGUAACUGGUAAAAAAGCCACGGCUAACUACGUG